AGCGAACGCUGGCGGCAGGCUUAACACAUGCAAGUCGAGCGGGCACUUUCGGGUGUCAGCGGCGGACGGGUGAGUAACGCGUGGGAACGUGCCCUCUGGUUCGGAAUAACUCAGGGAAACUUGAGCUAAUACCGGAUACGCCCUUUUGGGGAAAGGCUUGCUGCCGGAGGAUCGGCCCGCGUCUGAUUAGCUAGUUGGUGAGGUAACGGCUCGCCAAGGCGACGAUCAGUAGCUAGUCUGAGAGGAUGAUCAGCCACACUGGGACUGAGACACGGCCCAGACUCCUACGGGAGGCAGCAGUGGGGAAUAUUGGACAAUGGGCGCAAGCCUGAUCCAGCCAUGCCGCGUGAGUGAUCAAGGCCUUAGGGUUGUAAAGCUCUUUUAUCCGGGACGAUAAUGACGGUACCGGAGGAAUAAGCCCCGGCUAACUUCGUG
rnacentral:rRNA from 1 species